GACGAACGCUGGCGGCGUGCUUAACACAUGCAAGUCGAACGGAAAGGCCCUGCUUGCAGGGUGCUCGAGUGGCGAACGGGUGAGUAACACGUGGGUGAUCUGCCCCUUACUUUGGGAUAAGCCUUGGAAACUGGGUCUAAUACUGGAUAGGACCAUGCUGUAGGUGGUGUGGUGGAAAGAUUAGUUUCGGUAAGGGAUGAGCUCGCGGCAUAUCAGCUUGUUGGUGUGGUAAUGGCCUACCAAGGCGUCGACGGGUAGCCGGCCUGAGAGGGUGGACGGCCACAUUGGGACUGCGAUACGGCCCAGAAUCCUACGGGAGGCAGCAGUGGGGAAGAUUGCACAAUGGGCGGAAGACUGAUGCAGCGACGCCGCGUGGGGGAUGACGGCCUUCGGGUUGUAAACUCCUUUCAGCCAUGACGAAGCCCUUGUGGUGACGGUAGUGGUAGAAGAAGCACCGGCUAACUACGUG
rnacentral:rRNA from 1 species